rnacentral:rRNA from 1 species
UACGUAGGGCGCAAGCGUUGUCCGGAAUUAUUGGGCGUAAAGAGCUCGUAGGCGGUUUGUCGCGUCUGCUGUGAAAACUGGGGCUCAACCCCCAGCCUGCAGUGGGUACGGGCAGACUAGAGUGCGGUAGGGGAGAUUGGAAUUCCUGGUGUAGCGGUGGAAUGCGCAGAUAUCAGGAGGAACACCGGUGGCGAAGGCGGGUCUCUGGGCAGUAACUGACGCUGAGGAGCGAAAGCGUGGGGAGCGAACAGGA